rnacentral:tRNA from 1 species
GGGGGUAUAGCUCAGUCGGUUAGAGCGCAUCGCUGAUAACGAUGAGGCCCGUGGUUCAAGUCCACGUACCCCCA